UACGGAGGGUGCAAGCGUUGUCCGGAAUUAUUGGGCGUAAAGAGCUCGUAGGCGGUCUGUCGCGUCGGCUGUGAAAACUCGGGGCUCAACUCCGAGCCUGCAGUCGAUACGGGCAGACUAGAGUACUGCAGGGGAGACUGGAAUUCCUGGUGUAGCGGUGGAAUGCGCAGAUAUCAGGAGGAACACCGGUGGCGAAGGCGGGUCUCUGGGCAGUAACUGACGCUGGAGGAGCGAAAGCGUGGGGAGCGAACAGG
rnacentral:rRNA from 1 species